rnacentral:rRNA from 1 species
AGCAGCCGCGGUAAUUCCAGCUCCAAUAGCGUAUAUUAAAGUUGUUGCAGUUAAAAAGCUCGUAGUUGAACUUCGGGGUUUACCCAUUGGUCAGGCUUAAUUGUCUGUACUGGUGAGAUGAAUCUCUACCUUCUGAGGAACUUUCAUGCCAUUUAUUUGGUGUGAUGGGAAAUCAGGACUGUUACUUUGAAAAAAUUAGAGUGUUUAAAGCAGGCUAACGUCUGAAUACAUUAGCAUGGAAUAAUGAAAUAGGACGGAUUGAUUCUAUUUCGUUGGUUUCUAGGAUCACCGUAAUGAUUAAUAGGGAUAGUUGGGGGCAUUAGUAUUCAAUUGUCAGAGGUGAAAUUCUUGGAUUUAUUGAAGACUAACUACUGCGAAAGCAUUUGCCAAGGAUGUUUUCAUUAAUCAAGAACGAAAGUUAGGGGAUCGAAGACGAUCAGAUACCGUCGUAGUCUUAACCNUAAAACUAUAGCCGACUAGGGGAUCGGACGAAGUUAAUUUUAUAAUGACGCGUUCGC